ACGCUCGACACCUACGGGGGCAGCAGUUGGGAAUAUUGGACAAUGGAGGAAACUCUGAUCCAGUGACGCCGCGUGAAGGAAGAAGGUCUUCGGAUUGUAAACUUAUUUUGUCAGGGAAGAAAAAUGACUGUACCUGAAGAAAAAGCACCGGCUAACUACGUGCCAGCAGCCACGGUAAUCUGAGCGGGCUGGCAAGGC
rnacentral:rRNA from 1 species